ACACAUGCAAGUCGAACGAGCAAGAGAGAGCUUGCUUUCUCGAGCGAGUGGCGAACGGGUGAGUAACGCGUGAGGAACCUGCCUCAAAGAGGGGGACAACAGUUGGAAACGACUGCUAAUACCGCAUAAGCCCACGGGUCGGCAUCGACCAGAGGGAAAAGGAGUGAUCCGCUUUGAGAUGGCCUCGCGUCCGAUUAGCUAGUUGGUGAGGUAACGGCCCACCAAGGCGACGAUCGGUAGCCGGACUGAGAGGUUGAACGGCCACAUUGGGACUGAGACACGGCCCAGACUCCUACGGGAGGCAGCAGUGGGGAAUAUUGCACAAUGGGGGAAACCCUGAUGCAGCGACGCCGCGUGGAGGAAGAAGGUCUUCGGAUUGUAAACUCCUGUUGUUGGGGAAGAUAAUGACGGUACCCAACAAGGAAGUGACGGCUAACUACGUGCCAGCAGCCGCGGUAAAACGUAGGUCACAAGCGUUGUCCGGAAUUACUGGGUGUAAAGGGAGCGCAGGCGGGAAGACAAGUUGGAAGUGAAAUCCAUGGGCUCAACCCAUGAACUGCUUUCAAAACUGUUUUUCUUGAGUAGUGCAGAGGUAGGCGGAAUUCCCGGUGUAGCGGUGGAAUGCGUAGAUAUCGGGAGGAACACCAGUGGCGAAGGCGGCCUACUGGGCACCAACUGACGCUGAGGCUCGAGAGUGUGGGUAGCAAACAGGAUUAGAUACCCUGGUAGUCCACACCGUAAACGAUGAUUACUAGGUGUUGGAGGAUUGACCCCUUCAGUGCCGCAGUUAACACAAUAAGUAAUCCACCUGGGGAGUACGACCGCAAGGUUGAAACUCAA
rnacentral:rRNA from 1 species